rnacentral:rRNA from 1 species
CCUACGGGGGGCAGCAGUGGGGAAUAUUGGACAAUGGGGGCAACCCUGAUCCAGCCAUGCCGCGUGUGUGAAGAAGGCCCUCGGGUUGUAAAGCACUUUCAGUGAGGAAGAACGCCUGGUGGUUAAUACCCAUCAGGAAAGACAUCACUCACAGAAGAAGCACCGGCUAACUCCGUGCCAGCAGCCGCGGUAAUACGGAGGGUGCGAGCGUUAAUCGGAAUUACUGGGCGUAAAGCGCGCGUAGGUGGCUUGAUAAGCCGGUUGUGAAAGCCCCGGGCUCAACCUGGGAACGGCAUCCGGAACUGUCAAGCUAGAGUGCAGGAGAGGAAGGUAGAAUUCCCGGUGUAGCGGUGAAAUGCGUAGAGAUCGGGAGGAAUACCAGUGGCGAAGGCGGCCUUCUGGACUGACACUGACACUGAGGUGCGAAAGCGUGGGUAGCAAACAGGAUUAGAUAUCCUGGUAGUC